CCUGGCUCAGAUUGAACGCUGGCGGCAUGCUUUACACAUGCAAGUCGAACGGCAGCGGGGCUUCGGCCUGCCGGCGAGUGGCGAACGGGUGAGUAAUGCAUCGGAACGUGCCCAUGUCGUGGGGGAUAACGUAGCGAAAGCUACGCUAAUACCGCAUACGCCCUGAGGGGGAAAGCGGGGGAUUCUUCGGAACCUCGCGCGAUUGGAGCGGCCGAUGUCGGAUUAGCUAGUAGGUGAGGUAAAGGCUCACCUAGGCGACGAUCCGUAGCGGGGUCUGAGAGGAUGAUCCGCCACACUGGGACUGAGACACGGCCCAGACUCCUACGGGAGGCAGCAGUGGGGAAUUUUGGACAAUGGGCGCAAGCCUGAUCCAGCCAUGCCGCGUGAGUGAAGAAGGCCUC
rnacentral:rRNA from 1 species